rnacentral:tRNA from 1 species
UUGCGCCUGGCCGGAGGUGAAAGCGGCCGCGGCGGUGGCGUCGUCGUCGAAGCGCACGAUCUUGGCGUUGGGCGCGGCC